GAUAUUGUACCAUUCUCCAACUACAAGGAAACUCUAGAGUUUGUGGAAGAUUAGCUAAAGCCUGAAUGCAACUAGGAUAAUGUUAUCUCAAUUUCUAUUGUAUCGUGUACUAUUAAAAGUAUGUACACUGCAUUUUUUAUUUGUAUAUUGUCUCAACUUAUAUAUUAAUUACAUAGAGAUUAAGCACAUUCUAUUGGUGUUGCCUUAUUUUUCACCCUUUUCUUUAUAGUGCACGAUACAAAAGCACCCAAUAAAGUUUAAUCAAUGGAGAGCUUUAUGAGGCAGACUAAUAUAUAAGUUCAAAAAACAUUUAUGUGAGUGGUUUUUGUACUACAUUU
rnacentral:lncRNA from 1 species